rnacentral:rRNA from 1 species
AAACUGCGGAGGGAUCAUUACCGAGUUUACAACUCCCAAACCCAAUGUGAACCAUACCAAACUGUUGCCUCGGCGGGGUCACGCCCCGGGUGCGUCGCAGCCCCGGAACCAGGCGCCCGCCGGAGGGACCAACCAAACUCUUUUCUGUAGUCCCCUCGCGGACGUUAUUUCUUACAGCUCUGAGCAAAAAUUCAAAAUGAAUCAAAACUUUCAACAACGGAUCUCUUGGUUCUGGCAUCGAUGAAGAACGCAGCGAAAUGCGAUAAGUAAUGUGAAUUGCAGAAUUCAGUGAAUCAUCGAAUCUUUGAACGCACAUUGCGCCCGCCAGUAUUCUGGCGGGCAUGCCUGUCCGAGCGUCAUUUCAACCCUCGAACCCCUCCGGGGGGUCGGCGUUGGGGACCUCGGGAGCCCCUAAGACGGGAUCCCGGCCCCGAAAUACAGUGGCGGUCUCGCCGCAGCCUCUCCUGCGCAGUAGUUUGCACAACUCGCACCGGGAGCGCGGCGCGUCCACGUCCGUAAAACACCCAACUUCUGAAAUGUUGACCUCGGAUCAGGUAGGAAUACCCGCUGAACUUAAGCAUAUCAAAA